rnacentral:snRNA from 1 species
UCAAUCACUGAAUGCAUCAGUUA